CGCGUAGGCGGAUGCUUAAGUCAGAGGUGAAAGCCCAGGGCUCAACCUUGGAAUUGCCUUUGAUACUGGGCAUCUUGAGUAUGGGAGAGGUGAGUGGAACUCCGAGUGUAGAGGUGAAAUUCGUAGAUAUUCGGAAGAACACCAGUGGCGAAGGCGACUCACUGGCCCAUUACUGACGCUGAGGCGCGAAAGCGUGGGGAGCAAACAGGAUUAGAUACCCUGGUAGUCCACGCUGUAAACGAUGAGUGCUAGUUGUCGGCAUGCAUGCAUGUCGGUGACGCAGCUAACGCAUUAAGCACUCCGCCUGGGGAGUACGGUCGCAAGAUUAAA
rnacentral:rRNA from 1 species